UACGAAGGGUCCAAGCGUUGUUCGGAAUCAUUGGGCGUAAAGCGAGCGCAGGCGGAUCAGCAAGUCAGAUGUGAAAUCUCGAAGCUCAACUUCGAAACUGCGUCUGAAACUGCUAGUCUAGAAUGUCGGAGGGGAUAGGGGAAUUUCACGUGUAGGGGUAAAAUCCGUAGAGAUGUGAAGGAACACCGGAGGCGGAGGCGCCUAUCUGGACGACUAUUGACGCUGAGGCUCGAAAGCGUGGGAGCAAACAGGG
rnacentral:rRNA from 1 species